rnacentral:pre_miRNA from 1 species
UACUCUCUCCUUCCGUCAAGAAAUACUUGUUAUCAAAAUGGAUAAAAAGAGAUGUAUUAAGACAUAUUUUAGUUCUAGAUAUAUUUUUUAUCCAUUUCGAUGACAUGUAUUUUUGGACAGAGGGAGUAUUUG